UUGUUAAAAAAAAAACUGAGAUAAAACGAAAAUUAUUUAUGUUCAAAUGGCCAUCUCCGGCCAUCUAAAGGUGCCAUUAAUUGUCUUACCUCAGCCCCACAUGGUGGGGACUGUGGUGGUAUAAACCCUCCAUCUAUUUCUAAUUCCUGGAUCCACCAAUAAUACCAUAUAAUUUAUUUCGUCUUUAAAAACAUUUAGAAUAAAAUGACAAUCAUGAUGAAAAA